rnacentral:tRNA from 1 species
GAUGGUUUGGCUGAGUGGUCUAAGGCGCCAGAUUUGGCUCUGGUUCUGAAAGGGCGUGGGUUCAAAUCCCACAGCCGUCA